rnacentral:rRNA from 1 species
AAUAGAUACCCGGGUAGUCCACGCCGUAAACGAUGGAUACUAGCUGUUUGAGCGCAAGUUUGAGUGGCUAAGCGAAAGUGAUAAGUAUCCCACCUGGGGAGUACGGGCGCAAGCCUGAAACUCAAAGGAAUUGACGGGGGCCCGCACAAGCGGUGGAGCAUGUGGUUUAAUUCGAUGAUACGCGAGGAACCUUACCAGGGCUUAAAUGUAGAUUGACGUAUUUGGAAACAGAUAUUUCUUCGGACAAUUUACAAGGUGCUGCAUGGUUGUCGUCAGCUCGUGCCGUGAGGUGUCAGGUUAAGUCCUAUAACGAGCGCAACCCCUGUUGUUAGUUGCCAGCGAGUAAUGUCGGGAACUCUAGCAAGACUGCCAGUGUAAACUGUGAGGAAGGUGGGGAUGACGUCAAAUCAUCACGGCCCUUACGUCCUGGGCCACACACGUGCUACAAUGGCCGGUACAGAGAGCAGCCACUUAGCGAUAAGGAGCGAAGUCUAUAAAGCCGGUCACAGUUCGGAUCGGAGUCUGCAAC